AGCUCCUGGGCUCAGACCUGUCCAGCCAGCCUGGCCCCAGCCCCCGGCCCCGCAGGAGGCGGCCCGAAGCGGGGGACCUUCCUCCCCAAGGUGACCCAGACCCUCCUCGGGGCCUCGCCCGCGGCUGGCGGCUCAGCUGCUCUCUGGCAUCUUUCCAUUCAAGGGCUCCAGGGGUCCGGUCCGCGCUAAACCGAGGAAAGGGAGUUGGCGUCGGUCACACACUCCGACUGCCGCCGGGUCCCUCUUUCCUCUCACUGCCCUCGCUGGGGACCCCUGGGGGAGACGGGUCCUGUGAGGAGCAAGUGUUCUUUCCCUUGGCACAAUGAAACCUGGAAAAUGAAACUGGAGGAUGCUGCUUAUCACCAAAAAGCUGACCUGGUGAGCUGCCCAGUCCUGUUCUCUCCUUGUACAGCCGCGGAAAGAAAAAGCACUACCAGAGCUGCAAAGCAGGCCAACAACGGAGCCUUCGCAGCUUCACCUGCUGAUCAUCAGCCGACCGCUGCAUCAUUUGGGUCCCAAGUGGGACCUGAGUGGAUUAUAACACGGGAGCGGAGCAGCCGGAGGGAAGUCACACAUCACGCAGUUUUAGCAGAUGUGCAGCAAGGGACACCCCUGUGAACGCCGAGGAGCCUGGGUCUGUUAGUGAGGCUUAGAUGAGAAUCCAGUACUGUCCAGCUCCAGCAUGAAGAGCCACCCCGUAAACACAUGACAUCAGGCUCUGAGUCUAGAGAAGGCAGAAUGCCCUCAAGGAGCGUUUGAUUACUCAGUCAGCUCCAGAUACUAGGACAAAGCUCCAGAAAGGUCCACUAGGCCCACAGACCGAACUAAGUUGAUGCAGCUUAUUCAGCCUUUCACAGUGUGAUGAAGUGGAGGGCAAAUGAAAGUUGAAUAGGGAAGGCGGGUGGGCUCAAGCCGUGCUCACUUUCGGUAAUAAGGAUCACACUGGGGAGACCACGGCCCUCGAACCACGGCAGAAGCAAGCCAGAGUGCUUCCCGGGCAGAGGCUGGGGCCCCGGGUGGAGGAAAAGCGCUGGCCUGUGAGCGACAGCCACUACAGCGCUCCUAGUCCAGGAAGCGUCUAAGGGAACCUUGGUGUUACUGGCAGCUGAGUUAGAAAGAAAUAUUUGUUUGUUUGUUUUUUGUCUUUUUGAGACAACGUCUCCCUAUGCAGUUCAGGCUGACUGUGAGCUCCCUUUGUACCCCAGGCUGGUCUCGAACUUGAGACGAUCCUUCUACCUCAGCCUCCCGAGUGCUGGGAUUACAGUGUGUGCCACCACGCCCAGCUUAGAUGGAAAUAUUGUAGGCAGUCAGACACCGCCAGGCCCUGGAAGGAGCCAACAUGAAAGACAAGAUAAGAUGCUUAUUUGCUGUGGGCCAGACCUCAAGACCAAAGGACUAAACAAAUGCACCCACAGACCUCCCUAGGUGUGAACAUCAGGAUUUGAUAUUCUAAGUAGGUAUCGAUCAUCUUGAAGAGUCCCUGACCCAACCCCUCACAGGAAAAUCCCCUGUUCUGUAUUCAUGGCCGCUUGCUACGUGACUCGCUUCCCCAUUUGAUCCUGAUGUAAUCAAUUUUACCUGAACAAUUCUUAUUGGUUGACCAUAGUUUUGUCCAUUUUCUCCUACCUUAGACUCGCCUCGCCUCGUGGUUUUGCUCUAUAAAAGUCCCUAGAAAAGACCGAAUCUUGGGGCAAUCCACUCGCCCCCCCCCCCACUUCUGUCCCUCUCUUGGGCAGAAGCUUUCUUUUCUUUCCCUCAAUAAAUAUAUUCUGCUCUUAACCUCCAUUGUUCCUAAAAUUCAUUCUUCGAUUUUUGAGAACAUGAACUCAU
ensembl:lincRNA